ensembl:rRNA 5S_rRNA 5S ribosomal RNA
GUCUAUGGCUAUGCGACCCCAAACACACCUGAUCUUGUCUGAUCCCAGAAGCUAAGCAGGGUUGGGCACGGUUAGUGCUUGGAUGGGAGAACUGCUUGAGCUAUUUGCA